ACACUAACGCCGCAUUCACACCAGAUCUGUGGUGUGUGUGUUGUCACAGCUGUGGCGUGUGUGUGUGUGGCGGUAGUGUCUCAACUUAUGUGU